GUUAGUUCGUUUUUUCUUUUUUCAUAUGCUUUAGUUUUCUGUUUGGUUGUUCUAUUGAUAAUUAUAAUUUGAUUGAUUUUGGUAUUUUAGGCUUGUUUUUAACUACAAUAAGGAGGACAUUCUAGGUUGACAUGAUGCACCUGUACGGUGUGUUGAGUACUCUUAUGCAGCAGGUCAGUUGAUUACAGGAAGUUGGGACAAAACACUGAAGUGUUGGGACCCUUAGAGGAGCAAGUGGGCAGGAGCGCACCCUUGUUGGGACAUAUGCUCAACCUGAGCGUGUAUACUCUCUUUCAUUAGCUGGAAAUCGUUUAGUUGUUACAGUGUUUCUCUUACUACUUGUACAUUGGUCGUGUUUUAUUUUCAUGCUGUCUACUUUUAAGUUUUAAGGAUGUAUAUGGCUAAGCAACUUUGGUUAUUGUAUUAUCAUUGCUGAUACAUAGUUGAGUAUUUUUAGCUUUA